ACAAUGAAGAGUUUGAUCCUGGCUCAGGAUGAACGCUAGCUACAGGCUUAACACAUGCAAGUCGAGGGGCAUCAGGAAGAAAGCUUGCUUUCUUUGCUGGCGACCGGCGCACGGGUGAGUAACACGUAUCCAACCUGCCCUUUACUCGGGGAUAGCCUUUCGAAAGAAAGAUUAAUACCCGAUGGGAUAAUUAUUCCGCAUGGUUUGAUUAUUAAAGGAUUCCGGUAAAGGAUGGGGAUGCGUUCCAUUAGGUUGUUGGUGAGGUCACGGCUCACCAAGCCUUCGAUGGAUAGGGGUUCUGAGAGGAAGGUCCCCCACAUUGGAACUGAGACACGGUCCAAACUCCUACGGGAGGCAGCAGUG
rnacentral:rRNA from 1 species